GAAACUCUUCAUAGUUGUCUUGGCUGUUAGGCAUCACAACAAACCAAACCCUCCUGUUGCUCCCACAACUCCCCCUAGCACCAGCCCUACCUCCCCAUCCCCCAAAUCUCCAUCUCCUCAGUACCCUCAUCACCCUCCUGGGACCUCACCAUCACCAGCAUCAGUGGCUAACCCUCCAGCCACCUCACCAUCACCAGUAGUGGCUAGCCCUCCUGCCACCUCCCCAUCACCAGUGGGCUACCCUCCUGCCACCUCCCCAUCGCCAGUGGGCUACCCUCCUGCCACCUCACCAUCACCAGUGGGCUACCCUCCUGCCACCUCACCAUCACCAGUGGGAUACACUCCUGCCACCUCACCAUCCCCAUCAACAACAACAUCUCCAGCGCUAGCGCCAGGUCCAUCUUCAUCCCUUACACCAUUUCCUUCUCCACCCUCACCGCCCCCCGAGGGGCCCACACCGCCCUCCGAGGGGCCCACACCGGCCCCGUCCGCAGAGUCUGCGGGCCCCACACCACCGGGAACCGUUUCUCCGCCGCCCGGGACAGCGGACUCGACGGCUCCGAGACCGGCGGGGAGUGGAGCGUCGCAUAGUGUAACGGCUCCUUCGAGCGUGCUGGUGUCU
rnacentral:lncRNA from 1 species